GCCCCCGCCCGGGCCUACUGAACCUUGGGGUCCACCUCCAUCCAGUUUUCCCAUGAGUGUUGGGGGACCUGGAUUUGGAGCCAACCCCCAGUAUAUGGCGCCACCACGGCAAUUUGACAAUUAUUUUCCACGAGGGGACAUGCCUCUAGAUAUGCAACCUCAUCCGGGCCCCCUUUACGGCAGAGAUGCUUCAGUGGGAUCUCAUGCAAAUGUGCAACCACAACAAUCCAUAGUUUCAAAGGUGCACUUUCUCCUCCUUUAAUCUGUUGAAUAGAAAAAUCUAAUUGACAAAUCCUAUGAACUUAGUACAAUAGGGAAGGAGGAUUCUGGCGCUGAUAUUGAAUUGCACAAAAUAUGCUACAUAAGAUUAGCAUGUACAUCAGCUUAGAUAUGUUGCAUGUGAUUAGAAUCUGGCACCCUUUAGUAGUAUCUUUUGUUGAUUAUAACGAUUUGUGUUUCUUUUGGUUCAUUUUGU
rnacentral:lncRNA from 1 species